CAUUGGCCACCAUUCAAACAUCCCAACACUGUUACUAAAGCUAAAAAUAACAGUUAUGAUGCAGAGAUAAAUUGGCCAUUCUACAUAGCAAGGGUGCUGGGAUUAGCUAACAAUCUGAACAAUGCUCGUCAAAAAGCCAAAAUAGCUGAAGACACAUCUAGUUUGGAAAAUGCUUUUGAGGAGACAUAAAAAAGUUCAGGAACUUUCAGGAAAAACAAAAAAAGACGAGUGACAAAGAUCAGUUAUGACAGAGAAAGUGAAAAUGAGGAUUCUGAAAACGAUCUAUUGCACAGUGUAGAACCAAA